rnacentral:tRNA from 1 species
GGAGAGGUCGCAUAGUGGCCUAGUGCAGGUGUUUGCUAAACACCCAGGGUGUAACAACCCUCGAGAGUUCGAAUCUCUCCCUCUCCG